rnacentral:rRNA from 1 species
GACGAACGCUGGCGGCGUGCUUAACACAUGCAAGUCGAACGAAGUGGCGAACGGGUGAGUAACGCGUAAUCAACCUGCCCUUCAGAGGGGGACAACAGUUGGAAACGACUGCUAAUACCGCAUACUGAAGGAGGGGAUUGCGUCUGAUUAGCUAGUUGGAGGGGUAACGGCCCACCAAGGCGAUGAUCAGUAGCCGGUCUGAGAGGAUGAACGGCCACAUUGGGACUGAGACACGGCCCAGACUCCUACGGGAGGCAGCAGUGGGGAAUCUUCCGCAAUGGACGAAAGUCUGACGGAGCAACGCCGCGUGGGGGAUGAAGGCCUUCGGGUUGUAAACUCCUUUCGACAGGGACGCGGUACCUGUAUAAGAAGCACCGGCUAACUACGUGCCAGCAGCCGCGGUAAUAC